rnacentral:rRNA from 1 species
AUUGAACGCUGGCGGCAUGCCUUACACAUGCAAGUCGAACGGCAGCACGGGGCAACCUGGUGGCGAGUGGCGAACGGGUGAGUAAUGCAUCGGAACGUACCUUUCAGUGGGGGAUAACGUAGCGAAAGUUACGCUAAUACCGCAUAUUCUGUGAGCAGGAAAGCAGGGGAUCGCAAGACCUUGCGCUGAUUGAGCGGCCGAUGUCAGAUUAGCUAGUUGGUGAGGUAAAGGCUCACCAAGGCGACGAUCUGUAGCGGGUCUGAGAGGAGGAUCCGCCAAACUGGCACUGGGACGCGGUCCAGACUCCUACGGGAGGCAGCAGUGAGGAAUUUUGGACACUGGGGGCAACCCUGAUCCAGCCAUGCCGCGUGAGUGAAGAAGGCCUUCGGGUUGUAAAGCUCUUUCGGCCGGGAAGAAAUCGCACGGGCUAAUACCCUGUGUGGAUGACGGUACCGGAAUAAGAAGCACCGGCUAACUACGUGCCAGCCGCCGCAGUAACAC